GUGAUCAAGUGUGUUUGAACAUGGGUACCACUAUGGUUCUGUUAGGAAAAGUCUUGGCCGUUGGGAGUGAGGAGUUUGUGAACGAAGAUAACGAAAUGUACGCCGAAAUUCAGGUUUUAUGCCACAGACCGGGAUGUGUUGAAUUCCUUGAUAAUGUUAUUCCUGGUCAAAGCAAGGAGCUUGACGCCUAUGUCCCAAUAGUUAGAUUAUAUACAAAUCUACUAACCAAAGUUUCACGAGGUA